CCUACGCGUGGCAGCAGUGAGGAAUAUUGGUCAAUGAGCGAGAGCCUGAACCAGCCAAGUCGCGUGAGGGAGUACUGCCCUAUGGGUUGUAAACAUCUUUUGUCGGGGAGCAAAAGCCGGACGUGUCCGGCUGUGAGAGUACCCGAAGAAAAAGCAUCGGCUAACUCCGUGCCAGCAGCCGCGGGAAUAGGGAGGAUGAGAGCGUUAUCCGGAUUUAUUUGGUUUAAAGGGUGCGCAGGCGGAGUUUUAAGUCAGCGGUCAAAUCGUGGUGCUCAAACACAUCCAGCCGUUGAAACUGGGGAUCUAGAGUGUGCGAGAGGUAUGCGGAAUGCGUGGUGGAGCGGUGAAAUGCAUAGAUAUCACGCAGAACCCCGAUUGCGAAGGCAGCAUACCGGUGCACAACUGACGCUCAGGCACGAAAGCGUGGGUAUCGAACAGGAUUAGAUACCCGAGUAGUC
rnacentral:rRNA from 1 species